AACAUUGUGUUAGAUUCCAACUACGUGAGCAAACUCAAUGACUUUGGAAUAUUUCGUAUACUUAACCAAAACGAAUUCUCCAGCAACAACACCGCAGUCUGUUGGAUAACUAGUCCAAUGGGCAUUUUUACGUAUAUAUUGAUCCUUCAUUUGUCGCCACUGGAGAACCUACUCCAAAAUCAGAUGUUUACUCAUUCGGGAUCAUCUUGUUGCGGUUAUUGACCGGAAGACCAUCUUUGGGGAUAGCCGAGGAAGUAAAGGGUGCGUUGGAUAAAGGGGACUUUAAAAACUUGUUGGAUCUAACGGCUGGGGACUGGCCUUUUGAGGAAUCCCAGCAGUUGGCUCACAUAGCAAUGAGGUGCUGUGAGUUGAACCGUCACAACCGGCCGGAUCUUGCCUCAGAUGUGAGGAGGGUGCUCCAAGGAAUGGGAGUGUCGAAAUAUACUCGUGAGCGCAAUCGAGUACCUGAGGGUAAUCCAGGAUAUGCCAAUGAAAUUGACAUUGAGAUCGAAAAGAUGUGUUGGAAGGGGUUAAACCAGCCACUCAUGCGCUUGUGGCUAGGAAGGAAGAACUGAAGGCCAUGCAAAGUAACUCCCCUUCAUGUAGAAGCUCAGUUAGUCUUUUGUUUUUGUUACAAAGCUCUUGUACCCAUUGAAUGUUUUAAUUUGUUUGG